AGCGAACGCUGGCGGCAGGCCUAACACAUGCAAGUCGAACGGAUCCUUCGGGAUUAGUGGCGGACGGGUGAGUAACACGUGGGAACGUGCCCUUUGGUUCGGAACAACUCAGGGGAACUUGAGCUAAUACCGGAUGUGCCCUUCGGGGGAAAGAUUUAUCGCCAUUGGAGCGGCCCGCGUCUGAUUAGCUAGUUGGUGAGGUAACGGCCCACCAAGGCGACGAUCAGUAGCUGGUCUGAGAGGAUGAUCAGCCACACUGGGACUGAGACACGGCCCAGACUCCUACGGGAGGCAGCAGUGGGGAAUCUUGCGCAAUGGGCGAAAGCCUGACGCAGCCAUGCCGCGUGAAUGAUGAAGGUCUUAGGAUUGUAAAAUUCUUUCAGCGGGGACGAUAAUGACGGUACCCGCAGAAGAAGCUCCGGCUAACUUCGU
rnacentral:rRNA from 1 species